rnacentral:rRNA from 1 species
GAUGAACGCUGGCGGCGUGCCUAAUACAUGCAAGUCGAGCGAACAGACGAGGAGCUUGCUCCUCUGACGUUAGCGGCGGACGGGUGAGUAACACGUGGAUAACCUACCUAUAAGACUGGGAUAACUUCGGGAAACCGGAGCUAAUACCGGAUAAUAUAUUGAACCGCAUGGUUCAAUAGUGAAAGACGGUUUUGCUGUCACUUAUAGAUGGAUCCGCGCCGCAUUAGCUAGUUGGUAAGGUAACGGCUUACCAAGGCAACGAUGCGUAGCCGACCUGAGAGGGUGAUCGGAAACACUGGAACAGAGACAAGGUGGAGAAUACGAAGGGAGGCAGAAGUAGGGAAGAGUAAGAAAUGGGAGAAAGCUUGAAGGAGAAACGACGAGUGAGGGAUGAAGGUCUUAGGAUCGUAAAACUCUGUUAAUAGGGAAGAACAAAUGUGUAAGUAACUAUGCACGUCUUGACGGUAAAUAAUCAGAAAGACAAGGAUAACUACGUG